CUCAUAAAUAGAGCAACACAUACACAUAUGUGCCGAUUCAGGAGGGUGACAGGAAAGUGGGAUCAAGAUUAUGGUGACCUGAGCUGAGCCCAUACGACAUGAAACAGGUUUUUCAAGACUUAAAGAUAUGAAUGGAACAGGAUAGACCGUCUUUUUUCCACCCCAAGAAGGCACCUAAAUUCAGAAUAGAAAGUGAACCUGAGUUUAAAUUACAUUAGUUUAAAUUGUGAAUGGGACACUCAGUAGUGGUGUUAGCGGGUAGGGUGGUAACGGAACCCAUAAAGCAGCUGUGUCUUUCAAAAGCAGCUGGAUGUGAGCUCUGUUUCCAUCCCGUUUCGCAACAUCCAACAGUCUGACCGUUUGUGGAGAGAAACAUACUUCCUGGUGUACUUGAGUCAGUGAGUGUCUUUUAGUGUGAUGUGGCUGCAGUUGACUCUUCAAUAACUAAUAGGUGAUGUUCUUCAAUGACACGUUUUCUCCCGGAUUGACAAACACUAUAAGCCCCGGAAAUUUCGUGUCAGCAAAGAAUGACACCAGCUUCUAUAUAGGACAUGAGCAGCUUAAGCUAUUUAUUUUAGCUGAUUAAUGUAGUGUGUAAAUUGAUUUAUCGUCAGGCUAUUGUUUCUGAAUUGUUGCCCUGUUAUUCUGAAUUAAAAUAUAACUGGAUUUUA